GAUGAACGCUGGCGGCGUGCCUAAUACAUGCAAGUCGAGCGAACAGACGAGGAGCUUGCUCCUUUGACGUUAGCGGCGGACGGGUGAGUAACACGUGGGUAACCUACCUAUAAGACUGGGAUAACUUCGGGAAACCGGAGCUAAUACCGGAUAAUAUUUCGAACCGCAUGGUUCGAUAGUGAAAGAUGGCUUUGCUAUCACUUAUAGAUGGACCUGCGCCGUAUUAGCUAGUUGGUAAGGUAACGGCUUACCAAGGCAACGAUACGUAGCCGACCUGAGAGGGUGAUCGGCCACACUGGAACUGAGACACGGUCCAGACUCCUACGGGAGGAAGCAGUAGGGAAUCUUCCGCAAUGGGCGAAAGCCUGACGGAGCAACGCCGCGUGAGUGAUGAAGGUCUUCGGAUCGUAAAACUCUGUUAUUAGGGAAGAACAAACGUGUAAGUAACUGUGCACGUCUUGACGGUACCUAAUCAGAAAGCCACGGCUAACUACGUG
rnacentral:rRNA from 1 species